rnacentral:rRNA from 1 species
UUGGAGGUUGUGCCCUUGAGGCGUGGCUUCCGGAGCUAACGCGUUAAAUCGACCGCCUGGGGAGUACGGCCGCAAGGUUAAAACUCAAAUGAAUUGACGGGGGCCCGCACAAGCGGUGGAGCAUGUGGUUUAAUUCGAUGCAACGCGAAGAACCUUACCUACUCUUGACAUCCAGAGAACUUUCCAGAGAUGGAUUGGUGCCUUCGGGAACUCUGAGACAGGUGCUGCAUGGCUGUCGUCAGCUCGUGUUGUGAAAUGUUGGGUUAAGUCCCGCAACGAGCGCAACCCUUAUCCUUUGUUGCCAGCGAUUCGGUCGGGAACUCAAAGGAGACUGCCGGUGAUAAACCGGAGGAAGGUGGGGAUGACGUCAAGUCAUCAUGGCCCUUACGAGUAGGGCUACACACGUGCUACAAUGGCGUAUACAAAGAGAAGCAAGCUCGCGAGAGCAAGCGGACCUCAUAAAGUACGUCGUAGUCCGGAUUGGAGUCUGCAACUCGACUCCAUGAAGUCGGAAUCGCUAGUAAUCGUAGAUCAGAAUGCUACGGUGAAUACGUUC